CUAUAAUUUUUCUGAAUUUCGGAACGUAUUUAAUAAAUUCUGUUUUAUCUAUGGUAUGGAUAUUUACUUUGCAAUAAUUUUCAUGACAUGAGACUACAUUUUGCUGCAAUUAUAAGCGAUUUGAUCUGGUUUUGUUAUAAUUUCGUUUCAAUUUUAUGCGAAUAGGUACUGAGUUUAUAAAAGUAACAUAAUAUUGUCUUGUAUAUAAUUAGUUUUUGUGUAUUUCGGAUUCCGUUUACAUCUAGGUACCUACUAUGUCGGGGUCCUACGAGAAAGCUGGCGUAUCAACGCCACGAAUAUUCAGGCGCCCGUAAAUCGUCAAAACGAGUGAAAAGCGCAUUCAGUUGGAUACAUGUGGACGACAAGAUAGUAAACCUGUAAAUUAUAACUCAAGUUGUGGCCAGCUUCAUUGUAAACAAACUUUAGUUUUCAAGUUCAAGGACAAAUGCGUGUCAGUAACAUGGAUAAAUGCUACUUCAUAUGUUUUAUUUCAGUCAAUGAACCUUUGACUGUUAUAGAAGUUUGUUGAGAUAAUAUAAUGACUUUAUCAGCAAUAUGAUGCCAAAGUUAAUACACUUUUUUAAAGAAUGUAUUCUGCCAGAAUUAGUUUUGAGACAUGUUCAAAAAAAUGCGAAAUGUAUACCUAGGUAUGAAAGCAGCUGUGUAGCGGUAGUUUCCAGGCAAUAAUGAAGAAGGAUGAGUGAAAACAACACGACAAAUGUUUUUUUAUUGUACUAUUAUAGUAGUGUGUUUAGAAUCUACAUUAUCAAUGUUUACAGUCAUGUUUUUUUUGAUGUCAGAAAACUGAAAUGGUGUACUCGUCGUAAUGAACAUAAUGUUCAUAAUGUGAUAUGAAUACAUUGACCUAUUUUAAGGUUUCUGAAAAACAAAAAGGAAAGUUGUUGCUUUUUUAUUUCCUUAUGUAGUAUAGUGAUUAUGGAUGCUUAGAUAUUCUCAAUCAUUUUUCCGCUUUGAUUGCAAUCUAUUAUUCUGGUUGCCUUGUUUAUGAAUUAUAGUUUUGAAUUAUUAUUUUGAAUGAGAUUAUUUUUUAAUAAUCAGUCACGUAUCAAGCAUUCAUGUCACAUAAAUACUUGUAAUACUUGCAGGUUAGUAUAUACAUUCUAUUAAAUAAUGUAUAAGAUAAUAAAAUAAAACUGUCUUACAUUGCA